ACCUACCAAUAACGUGGGCGCGAGCAUCAGUGGGUUCUUCUGCUUCUCUCGUUUGUGUUAACUUAUCAGCCCACACAGUAGGUUUGUGUUUUCAUGAAUUUUCUAUAUUUGUUUCCAUUCACCACCUUUCAACCUCUUGGGUUGGACUAGUCUGCGUAGCUGUUGCUGAAGUUCCGGCUUGGGAUUUGGCUAAGGUAGACCUCACUUUUCACUACCUUUCUUUUUAUGCCCUGAACGUGUUUGACGUUUUGUCUAAACCAAAAAGCAACAUAGUUAUCCUCGCAUUGGAAUUGUCGUGGCAUUGCUAAAGCCUAAACAAAAACCACCCUUGGAGCUUUAACAGAGAGCAAAGCCCAGAUUGCAUCAACUGUAUAGCUCUCUUAUACAGCCAUACUCUCAUUGCCAACAUCUCAAAAUCCCAAUCAUGAGAUAACUACAAUGGAAGUAGUCGUAGCAGCCCCUCAGUUGAAAGCAGUAGGACUAAGUUGUGUUCAUGCUCAUACUGUAUCCAUUUUCCCUAGUAGUACUAGUUUAAGUAAAAGUAAGUAUGCACUUCAGAUUCGGCAGCCUCUACGCAGCCCCAAACAAAAUGUUUUCAUCAUUAAUGAUGAUAAUAAUAAUGACAAAACCGAUACUUCAAAACCAAUGGAAAUGGCAAUAAAAACUACUACUACUCCUAAUAAGAAGAGAGGCAGCAGCAGGUGCACAAGCUCGGAUAUUUUGCGAUUGAUGGAUGGGCUUGGCCUCCCCAUACCCUAUGACAUGUAUGCUUCCCUUAUCCAAGAAUGCACUCUCACUGCGGACUCUGCAAGAGCUAUGGAGUUGCAUGCCCGCAUCACCCCGAGGCUCGAACUUCCAUUGCCUUUGCUUAACCGACUCCUUCUCAUGCACGUAUCAUGCGGUCUAUUUGACACUGCCAGGCAUUUGUUUGAACAAAUGUUCCGUAAGGACAUCCUCACUUGGGCCACCAUGAUUGUUGCUUAUGCCAGCAAUGAAGACUACCAUGAAGCUGUAACUUUGUUUGUGAAAAUGCAAUCCCAAUCCCAAUUUAAUUUUUUUGAAUUACCCACAUGGCUCAUAGUUUGCGUUCUCAAGGCAUGUUUGUACACUAUGGAUAUGGAACUCGGAAAGCAACUCCAUGGCAGCUUACUGAAGUUGGGUAUUGCUAAUGAUUUCUUUCUCAACAGUUUCCUAAUCGAAUUUUAUGGGAAAUUCAAAUGCCUAGAAGGUGCUGACUUUGUCUUUAAUCAACUCCCACGUCACAAUACUCUGACAUGGACGGCCAGAAUCAUUAGCAGCUGCAGGGAAGAGCAUUUCCAUGAUGUUUUCACUUACUUUAGGGAGAUGGGAAGGGCAGGAAUUAAGAAAAACAAGUUCACAUUUUCUAGUGUUCUCAAGGCAUGUGGUGGGAUUCAUGACCAUGGGCAUUGCGGUCGACAGGUCCAUGCCAAUGCCAUCAAGCUUGGGCUGGAUACAGAUACUUUUGUGCAGUGCGGGUUAAUUGACAUGUAUGGAAGAAGUGGGCUACUGCCAGAUGCAAAACUGGUGUUUGAGAUGAAUGGUGACAACAAGAGAAACACUGCAUGUUUGAAUGCAAUGGUUACCGGGUACAUGCGCAACGGCUUUUACAUUGAAGCCGUCAAGUUUCUGUAUCAGAUCAAGGCAGCUGGAGUGCAGCCCCCAGAAUCUCUGCUCAACCAACUGAGGCUAGCUUGUGGUAGUAACGCUACUGAAAGCAAGAUCUAAACGGACAGGUAUGUUUAACCACUGGUGGAGGUGCUGAUAUAUGCGUAUGGCAUAUCUGCAUAAGCUGAGUUAGGAUUAGUUUUUAUUUUCUGCAUCAAUUUCUAUUCAAAAGAUUAUCCUUCCUUUGCAAAAGUCAAUUCUCUAAUAUACUAUUUUUUGCUCAAUACCAAGCAAGGUUUGAUAGUUUUUGGUUCUAGAGCAUUUAUAUAUUCUGUAGGAACACAUUCUGAAGGAUCUACUCAAAAGGGAACAAUGGAAAGCCAAAAUUGGUUUCAGUUUAGACAGGACUCUUUUUUUACUACCAACAGUGCUUUGAACAAAUAGCAUCAUGAAAGUCAGCCACAAUCAAAAGAGUGUGGGAGGGGGGAGAUCAACACAUCCAAUGGGGUAGGCACACUGACAAUCUUCAUUAUUUGAUGAAGUUAUUUAAUUUUCUUUAUUCUGGAUGUUGGAUGUUGGUCAAUAUUCUUGUCAGUAACACUUCUGCACCCCCUCCCUCCUAUCUUAUUCCAACCCAAAGAAGAUGAAAAAAUAAAAGAGGAUUUCUUAUUAUUGCUGAAACUGGUCCGUUUUGGUGAGACCUAGGGAGCUUCUUGCUUUAUUGUGCAAUAGAUUACUGAGCAGUUAGUAAGUCCUACUCUCUCUCUCACACACACACAUAUCAGCACAACUUCAAUAAUAGCAAGGGUAGAUGCAUGGGCAAUAUUUCCAGGAGUUUAAUUUUGAUCUUUUAUAUUAUGUAUUCAGAAGCAGCCAUUUUACAAUACCCCUUGAUGAAAAUGGGAGAUUUCUUGCAAUCUUUAUGAUGGGAGGCAUAGUGGCAUACAUAUCCAAUGGGUGAAUUAGCAUUCUGAUGCAAGGCAUUUCAAGUAACUAUAUGCCUAUAUCCUAAUCCACUUGUGACUAAUUAGUUAGUUAGUUAGUUAGUUAGACGAUUUCUUAAGCAUUAGCCUAUAGGAUUUAGACACUUGUCAACUAUCUAGAGGCUGCCAAUGCCAAACAACUAGUAUAAGUAGGAGAAUGUAAGCUCUUUGUAAAUCAGUUUUUGGUAAUUGAAUGAAUUGUUAGCCUUUGUGUUUUAUUUGGAACUGUGUGUUCUUGCUGAGGAACUUAUCCACCUAUCAAUGUGUUCUUAGCAACUCAGCCUUUCAUUGUUUCUAAACCAUAGACAAACAGCCCAUCACAUCCCCUGCAUCACAUUCCUAAUUAAUACACAAGGAUACUAAGAUGGAUUUUAGUACGGUGUUUGAGCUAUAAACUGUAAUUGUUGGUUCCAGAAUUCACCAAGCAGUUGCGGUGAGUGGCAAAAUUGCACUUCAUGAUAAAAUUCAUUAUCAUCUUUCAGAAAAAAAAGAAAAAAAAAAAAGGGUGACGGAUGCAGACAAUUGUUUUCAGAUAGGAGGGGGAGGGGCCAAUGAUAAUGAGUAAUGGGGCAUAUAUGAGCUUUGUCCAUGCCAGAUGGGGAUGAAAUGUUAGUGGAUGUCAUGUAUUGUAAACAUCUCCAACCUUGUUCUUGAUGGGAGGAUUAAUGUUCUGAAAACGAAGGUAGAGAUUAUCUCAACUCCAUUUGUAAGAUUUUUUGUGCAUUGCAUAAUUUCUUGACAGAUCCUUUGUUAAUGAGAUUCUUGCUUUCAACAUC